CUGGUUUUGUGCUCCAGGGUCACAAAUGUAAAGAACAUCAUUCACUUCACAAUGAAUAUGACAAACCACACCCUUUGACCCCAAAAAUAAGGCUUAAACAAGAAACAAGUCUCUUUAAAUUUCACUUAACUUUUAUUAAAAAAAAAGAAAAAAGAAAAAAAAGAAAAACAAUUUUUGAUUGAACAAUACAAGACUACCAAUCCAGAAUGAGCAAAAAAUACUAAUUGGAAAAAAAGUGUAUGUUUACAAUGUGUGUGUGUGUGUGUGUGUGUGUGUGUGUGUGUAAGUGUAAGUGUGUUAUCUAACGUCGUCUCUUCUUCUUGCUGCUGGGGGGCGGAGCCGAUGAACGGCCUUUCCUCUUCCUGUUUAAGGUCUCCUCUGUAUCCUCAUACUGACUCUCGCGAUCAGCUGACGGAAGGAAAUAAAAGGCCGUUACAAACAGACCAAUCACUGCAUUGUGUAGU
rnacentral:lncRNA from 1 species